GAUGAACGCUGGCGGCGUGCCUAAUACAUGCAAGUCGAGCGAAUGGAUUAAGAGCUUGCUCUUAUGAAGUUAGCGGCGGACGGGUGAGUAACACGUGGGUAACCUGCCCAUAAGACUGGGAUAACUCCGGGAAACCGGGGCUAAUACCGGAUAACAUUUUGAACCGCAUGGUUCGAAAUUGAAAGGCGGCUUCGGCUGUCACUUAUGGAUGGACCCGCGUCGCAUUAGCUAGUUGGUGAGGUAACGGCUCACCAAGGCAACGAUGCGUAGCCGACCUGAGAGGGUGAUCGGCCACACUGGGACUGAAACACAGCCCAGACUCCUACGGGAGGCAGCAGUAGGGAAUCUUCCGAAAGGGACGAAAGUCUGACGGAGCAACGCCGCGUGAGUGAUGAAGGCUUUCGGGUCGUAAAACUCUGUUGUUAGGGAAGAACAAGUGCUAGUUGAAUAAGCUGGCACCUUGACGGUACCUAACCAGAAAGCCACGGCUAACUACGUGCCAGCCGCCGCCGUAA
rnacentral:rRNA from 1 species